rnacentral:tRNA from 1 species
GCCAGUUUGGCCGAGUGGUUAAGGCGGUGGUCUUAAGCCCUAUAGUUUAAAACACCAUUAUCGAAAGAUUCACAGGUUCGAACCCUGUAGCUGGCA